GACGAACGCUGGCGGCGUGCUUAACACAUGCAAGUCGAACGGAAAGGCCCUGCUUUUGUGGGGUGCUCGAGUGGCGAACGGGUGAGUAACACGUGGGUAACCUGCCCUUGAUUUUGGGAUACUUUCAGGAAACUGGGGCUAAUACCGGAUAGGGGCUCCUGCUGCAUGGUGGGGGUUGGAAGGUUUCGGCGGUUGGGGAUGGACUCGCGGCUUAUCAGCUUGUUGGUGGGGUAGUGGCUUACCAAGGCUUUGACGGGUAGCCGGCCUGAGAGGGUGACCGGCCACAUUGGGACUGAGAUACGGCCCAGACUCCUACGGGAGGCAGCAGUGGGGAAUAUUGCACAAUGGGCGGAAGCCUGAUGCAGCAACGCCGCGUGCGGGAUGACGGCCUUCGGGUUGUAAACCGCUUUCGCCUGUGACGAAGCGUGAGUGACGGUAAUGGGUAAAGAAGCACCGGCUAACUACGUG
rnacentral:rRNA from 1 species